UGAACAGUAAAUGUUUUGUCUUCACCUACAAAAGACUCUAAGAGAGAGAAAGUGAGAGACCAGAGAAAAUCAGAGGCGGAAGAAAGACCGAGUGUUGAUCAGGAGGAGCUAAAGGUUCUGGCAGGAUCCAAAUAUUCCGGUCGUCUCCCUCGACGUACUCUGACAACUCAUCGUUUACAACUGUUUAAGGUUUGACCACGAACCCAUUUCUCCGGCGGCAGUGAUUAAAGGGUUCGUCUUACGACAAUCACUUCCAGAUGGAACCUUUGCUUGUAAAGGCGACUAGGGUUUUGAGACUACCGCCGUGGAUUCCGGUGAGAAGCACCAGCGCCGAUCAGGGGCUGCAUGUGCCCGAGUUCAGUGGUUCCAAAUUAAUAUUAGGGGAUUGUGAUGUGGAAGAGGUUAGGGUUCGAGCAGUGAUGAGGCGAUGGUGAUUUAGUUCAAGCAAAACCACCGCUGACGACGGAGGUGCCGGUACCUGUCCUGACCGAUGGUGGAGUCGACUCCCAGCGGCUGUUCAGAUCACUGUUAAGGUAUUAUUCGGUCACCAUAGGCACUUUUGUACAAGUUUUAAAGGAAUGGAACACGUUUGCUUGGUGGGAUGACCUUAAUUCUUAUAGCUCGGCAUAAAUUUGAGUUAAGGUGGACAAAAGGGACGUCUUCAUCAACUCAUGCUUGAAACUAGAACACAUCCUUGACUGCCUGUCAACUACAUUUCGCGUAUCUAAACAGCGUAAUGAACUAGCAUAGACAAACUUGUAGCUAAAGGUAAAUUAUAUGCUACUGAACAUAGGCUUGCCCAAAUGUCCCAAGUUUUGUUCACUGCGUUUAUAAACAACGCCGCAACGGAUUAGUGAUAGUAUAUUAUUAACCA